UGGGGAAUUUUGGACAAUGGGGGCAACCCUGAUCCAGCCAUUCCGCGUGAGUGAAGAAGGCCUUCGGGUUGUAAAGCUCUUUUGUCGGGGACGAAACGGUUUCACCUAAUACGUGAGACUACUGACGGUACCCGAAGAAUAAGCACCGGCUAACUACGUGCCAGCAGCCGCGGUAAUACGUAGGGUGCGAGCGUUAAUCGGAAUUACUGGGCGUAAAGCGUGCGCAGGCGGUUUUGUAAGCCAGAUGUGAAAUCCCCGGGCUCAACCUGGGAAUGGCAUUUGGGACUGCAAGGCUGGAGUAUGGCAGAGGGGACUAGAAUUCCUGGUGUAGCAGUGAAAUGCGUAGAUAUCAGGAGGAAUACCGAUGGCGAAGGCAGGUCCCUGGGCCAAUACUGACGCUCAUGCACGAAAGCGUGGGGAGCAAACA
rnacentral:rRNA from 1 species